rnacentral:rRNA from 1 species
UUUAAUUGAAGAGUUUGAUCAUGGCUCAGAUUGAACGCUGGCGGCAGGCCUAACACAUGCAAGUCGAGCGGUAACAGAAAGAAA